UACGUAGGGUGCAAGCGUUGUCCGGAAUUAUUGGGCGUAAAGAGCUCGUAGGCGGCUUGGUAAGUCGGAUGUGAAACCUCCAGGCUCAACCUGGAGUCGCCAUCCGAUACUGCUAUGGCUAGAGUCCGGAAGGGGCGAGUGGAAUUCCUGGUGUAGCGGUGAAAUGCGCAGAUAUCAGGAGGAACACCAAUGGCGAAGGCAGCUCGCUGGGACGUGACUGACGCUGAGACGCGAAAGCGUGGGGAGCAAACAGG
rnacentral:rRNA from 1 species